GAAGGGACCUAGCGUAGUUCGGAAUUACUGGGCUUAAAGAGUUCGUAAGUGGUNGAAAAAGUUGGUGGUGAAAUCCCAAAGCUUAACUCUGGAACUGCCAUCAAAACUUUUCAGCUAGAGUAUGAUAGAGGAAAGCAGAAUUUCUAGUGUAGAGGUGAAAUUCGUAGAUAUUAGAAAGAAUACCAAUUGCGAAGGCAGCUUUCUGGAUCAUUACUGACACUGAGGAACGAAAGCAUGGGUAGCGAAGAGGAUUAGAUACCCUCCGUAGUCCAUGCCGUAAACGAUGUGUUGUUAGACGUUUGGAAAUUUAUUUUCCAGUGUCGCAGCGAAAAGCGAUAAACACACCCGCCUGGGGAGUACGACCGCAAGGUUAAAACUCCAAAUUGAAUUGACNGGGACCCCACAAUUANUGGACAUGUUGGUUUAUUCCAAANAUACGCGCAGAACCUUACCACACUUGACUGUUCCUCCCGAUCCUAAGAAUUANAUUUCCNGUCCGGCCGACGAAACAN
rnacentral:rRNA from 1 species